AACCUGCCGUAUGCAGGGGGACAACAGUCAGAAAUGACUGCUAAUACCGCAUAAGCACACAAUGCUGCAUGGCAUGGUGUGAAAAGAUUUAUCGGCAUACGAUGGCCCCGCGUCUGAUUAGCCAGUUGGCAGGGUAACGGCCUACCAAAGCAACGAUCAGUAGCCGGCUUGAGAGAGUGACCGGCCACAUUGGGACUGAGACACGGCCCAGACUCCUACGGGAGGCAGCAG
rnacentral:rRNA from 1 species